rnacentral:lncRNA from 1 species
GGAGAUGAGAUAACAGAUUGACAAUUCCAUGGUUUUCAACGUUCUGAUUGGUGAACCCUCCCCCCCCCCCACUUUUCUUGGCCAGACUUAGACCCAGCCAUACUCUCAUCCUGUCAUCCAGACUCUCGCCAUCUUUCUCACUCCCACCCCAGCCUCUUUCCACCACCUCAGAACAGUAAUCAAAUCAAUAGCUACUGUUGCUUCUUGGAAAGGAUAAAUCAACUGGCUUCUCUAUUGACCGAUCCACUAUCCCUGUGGCUUCCUGGAUCCAAACACUCUUCCCUGGUCAACAUUUCUCUAUUUAUGCCACCUCUAUUAGAAGGUUUCUACAGAUGCCUCAGUGACUUCUCCAUCGUCAAAGAUCUUCAGAUGAAGGCUAGAAGAUCGCCUAGAGAGGAAGGAUGCUAUUGUGGGGGAAUUCCAAUUCAGAACAGUUCUAUUCAUCUAUCCAUGGUGACAGGAUAAUAUGGAAAAUUAAAUUGAAAUAAUCAUCGCUCUUUGGAUUUACCACCAAGAUGGAAAACAAAGCUGAAUCUCCUUGAG